GACUCUUCAGUGGUCCAAUGGUAAAGCGCUCGUCGCGGAGCCAGAGGGUCCUGGGUUCGAUCCCCACCAGGGUCG
rnacentral:tRNA from 1 species